GGCAAUAUCACGGUAAAACACCAGUUCUUAUAUGAUCACCAAAGUUAAGCAAUGUUGAGCCUAGUCAGUACCUAGAUGAGUAACCGUUUGGGAGUACCAGGUGCUGUAAG